rnacentral:lncRNA from 1 species
CUGCAGAACUGUAUCAGCCAACAGGACUGUGCCAAAACCAACAGAGUCUGCAGUCUGGCUUGAGGAGCAGAGUGUGUGGCAUCCAAAAUCAAUUUGUAAGCCUCAGCUGUCUAUGCAGAGACUGCCUUUCCAUGUGUUGCUAUGCAAGAACAUGGCUGGUGAACUUACACCCAAAACUUGCUCUUCUUUUUUCCCCAGCCAGAUGACACCGACCUGGCCUGACAGUGGGUAUGUAGCAGACCUCCGUGCGUGCAUGCUGUUACAGGACUGCGAUGGACCACCCAUGGAGAGCAACUUGAAGGAGAAAAGCUGCACCCUUGAUAGUGYGCUUCCUAGCAAAAUGACUUAG